GUAUGAUAGAAUGUGAUGUAAACUGGCACAACAUUAUUGAGAUUGAUGUGUCCUCAGUCCUCCUACUACUUGAUAGUUUGUAAAAUGGUGGACUGUUUGUGAUUCAUGUUAUUUUUUUUCUUUUCUUUCAAGUUUUUUUUUUUUUUUUUUGGUAAAAGGUUAAAUUUUAUACCAAAUUUUCAAAUUUGUGACACAAAUUACAAAGAAAACAAGUAGCGGAAAAAAACCGAAAAUCUACAGAAUAAACAAUAACAACAAAACAGCAAAGGAGAACAUCGUAAACUUAAAAGCGGAAACGAAAGAAGAAACACCGAUUCCGAAUAGCCAAAUUCGGAAAUUUGCGUGAUUUCCGCAACUCCGAAGAGUUGGAGUCCCAUCCUAGUUGCCACGAGCAAACUAAAUCCAAACAGAGGCCAGCCUUCAAAACCUCAAGAUAAAGCGCCUACAGCUUCUCCGCAAACUAACGCAAAAACGUAAUGACAACAAUGGACUUAUACUCAAAUCCGAUGGUUACAGGAGCAUCUACGAACAACCAGAAAAACCACUUCCAAUCAUCAUUCCUAUUGCAAACAAUAGGAACCAUCUCCCUCGGAUAAGCGAAGCCAUAUAGACCAAAACGCCGCCUCUAUUCUUCUCUUCAAGACUCCACUUCAGUAAUACGAGCACAUCCGUAACUGUUACACGAAAGGAAAAACACCAACAUCGAACCACCAGGGCAGAGAUAAGGGGAUUUGAUGAGGAGCCACAAACUAGCAGCGACGGAAGACGAAACUAACACUAACGCCCUCCCACAAGACAGAGGAGACUCGUCGUUAACAAGAAACCUUCCCACGACAAGCCUAUCCGCCACACGAACAACCAAAAGCAGCAAUUACACAAACUGAUACUGAGGAAGCCUCCACUUGUGCCACAGAUCCGAAAUCCUUACUCUCGACCCCGGAAGUAGGAGAAACGAUGAUGGAGAGACCGAGAACGAGAGCAACAAACAAAACUCCGUGUAGAGGCCAAGGAACCGAAACAACACCAUACCUGAGAAGGGAGAAAGGCGAGUAGAGACCGGCUAGCUAAACCGGAAUCCAGAGACGCCACAAGCAAAGCCAUUGUAGAGACCGAACUGCUCCCAAGCCACAACAAAACCACCAAAAACCAAGAUCAACAGAUUUAGAACCAAAAACCAAAACAGGAGAGAAAGUCGUUUCACCAAGAUCCACCAGAGACGCCACGGAACACGAACCACUGUCCUCAAGCAGCCACGGCAGCGGCGACCCAACCCUUUGGCAAGUAUUCUCUCUCCACGCGAUGGUUCUCCACUAACCCGAGACUUCAGAGAGAUGAGCUGAUUCGAACCACCAACACGGAAGCAAACGAACAACACAAGCAAAAGAAAGAAAAUUAAGAGAGAGCCCUCUCACGGUACCGGCAAAAAACGCCGGUGACCGGAGAGGCAAACUAUC
rnacentral:lncRNA from 1 species